CGACUGUCUAGCAUGGGGCCAGGAUUUGCCAAGGCGUUGCGUCGCUCCUGGAUGGCAAAGGGCUAAUUAAAACCAGUUAAAACAAAGAUCAUCCAAGCAGUCCGCAGAGCAGAUUUCGUUUUACCUUUUCACAAAUAUACUAACAUGGACUCAUACGCGGACAAAUGUUCACACGUUGUUGGCCAAAGAACAGACACACACAUAACACAUAUACCAAGUCUUGGCUUACAUACCCGAACAACCGACCCAACUACCAAGUUCAGUCAACCUUGCUGGCUGGUUUUGGAACUGCCCAAAAACCAUCUAUUGUGCAGUUCCGUCGAAGCAGUCAACCAUUUACAACGAAUACACACAAAUACACGAUCACGACGAACACGUACUACCGGAAGCACUGCUGAAAUGGUAACUGAAGAUGUUGGCGCGCACCUCUCGGCCAAGAAUAUGUAUCGCGAUCGGGAUAUUUCUUUUUUGUUGGAC